rnacentral:rRNA from 1 species
CCUACGGGUGGCAGCAGUGGGGAAUAUUGCGCAAUGGGCGAAAGCCUGACGCAGCGACGCCGCGUGAGGGAUGAAGGCCUUCGGAUCGUAAACCUCUUUUAGCAGGGAAGAACGGUCACCGUUCUAAUCAGCAGUGAAUUGACGGUACCUGCAAAGGAAGCACCGGCUAACUCCGUGCCAGCAGCCGCGGUAAUACGGAGGGUGCGAGCGUUAAUCGGAAUUACUGGGCGUAAAGGGCUCGUAGGCGGUAUGUCAAGUCAGAGGUGAAAUCCCCGGGCUCAACGUGGGAACUGCCUUUGAAACUGGCGAACUGGAGUAUGUGAGAGGAUAGUGGAAUUCCAGGUGUAGGAGUGAAAUGCGUAGAUAUCUGGAGGAACAUCAGUGGCGAAGGCGACUAUCUGGCACAUAACUGACGCUGAGGAGCGAAAGCGUGGGUAGCAAACAGGAUUAGAUACCCGGGUAGUC